CCUCUUGCCAGAUGCACGGUGAACACCUAUGUUGGAAAGUGCAGGAGGGGCUUGCCCCUUGGCUAUGGCGAUAAACGGCGCGUGGAAUAAGUGUUGUGGACCCGGGGGCGGUACCCGGCGUCUCCACCAGUUUCCCCCCAAAGCGGGGGAUAUGGGGACGAAACAGGCUCGACACGCAUGGUAAAGACCCGCCUUUUGCCCGGCAUUGUACCACCGUUAUCGGGCUAAAUCACAAGUGCCAACGAUAACUCAGAGGUGCUCGCUGUCGCUGCAUAAGCGAUAAGCGCGGUUCGGGAGGGCACCGGGCAACAGAAGCCCUCCCACU
rnacentral:tmRNA from 1 species